CUGGUGUCUGUCAUAGACUCCCAAGGAGACCUGGUCUUCAGCUAUGGAAAUGGCAUCAGUUAGAAGCCUGCAGACGCCCUUCCCUGACUGACACAGUCACAGGGUAUCGGAUAGAUGCGCUCAGUCCUCCAGGCGAGAGGGACUCCCACAGCCCCAGGGAAAGGACUGCAUCUGCUGGAGGGCCUUGCUCUGUGUUUCUUUCUGAGCCCCACUUCCAGCUGGCUGUGUUCUCCGGUGAGUUAACAUCUGUAGUAUUUUCAUGAGCUGAAAUGCUGUGGAAAACAUGCAGCUCUUUACAGUCUUCCAAAGUCAGUCUCUCCCCUCUCCCUCCAUGCUCUUCCCUCUUCCCUCUCCUCCCUCUCCCUCUCCCCCCGCCCCCCGCCCUGUGUCUCUGGGGGUGGGGUGGGGAGGAAAGACAACUGAUACAGUAUUUGAAAGGCCACUGAGAACUGGUUUGUUAGGGCGCUCUAAGGCUGAGGCCUGGGAUCGGAGAGAAAAGCAAGCCUCACUCUCUGCCUUAAGCCUCCCGACGUGAGCGGCUGAUAAGGAUUUAUCAGGCUGGCUGGGAACUGGAAGUUGAGUCCAGUCAGGUUGUUUUAUUGCAGAGGAGCUGAAAUCAUCUGAGGCACAGGACUACACAGUAGAUUCUGGAGAACUUCCCUCAGAUAGGUGUAUUUGGUGAGAAGCCCGAGCACAGAGGAGGCUUCUGGCCACCAUGUUUCUCUUGCCCCAAGCCUAACCGGGAGGUUUCCUUCCUUUCCUGAGGUAGGAUUUAUUGAAAGGAAGGGGCUGGGCCUGGAGCUCAGUGUUAUAGCACUUGGCUCUGGGUGUGUGUGUGUGUGUGUGUGUGUGUGUGUGUGUGUGUGUGUGUGUGUGUGUGUGUGUGUGUGAGAGAGAGAGAGAGAGAGAGAGAGAGAGAGCUCACAAUGCCCAGAACAUUUGCCACACAACUUCCAUGUUCAGCUGUCCACUUGGCAGAUUAUUUUGUGUGACUUGAUGAUAAAUUCCAACACCCAGCACCGCCCCAGGCACAAAGUGGCCAUUCCCCAUCACAGAUAUUUGAAUGUCUUGAGUGAGUUUGUGGGUCCUUCUCUCUGUCUCUGUCUCUCUGUCUCUCGUCUGUCUGUCUCUCUCUCUCUCUGCAUCUUGACUUUGAGAGUUAACGUCAUUUCAGUGUUCACCGCUGCUGUUGGCUUGGAGCUCAGAUAACCACGCCCUUCCAUGCAUCUACUUUCCAAGUUCUUCUGUGGAGUGAGUUAAGCUCAGUGAGUGGGUGUCUCGCCCAGCAUUUCUUUUCAGGUUGAUUCUGGUUUGGGAAGUGUCCAGCCCGGAAUGAAGACACUGGAAGAAUCUCUUCUCCCUGAAGCCCACCAGCUUCUCCCAGAACAACUGCCGCUCACAGUCAGACUACUCAGACCACAUGCUGAAAAGAGCUGCUUGUAGCAUUCAGCAGAGGGCCAGAGAGCUGGUGCCCAGGGGAGUGGACAGACCGGAUCAUCUUCCAAACAUCAGCAGCAGGGGCCGUUCUUGGGGCCUUCUGGGCCACCCUUUACUCUGUCACUGCGCCGCCAUCAGAAGCUGCAACAGCGUCCUAACAGUCCUGGCAUUUGAAAACAUAGCUCUCUAUACCUUGGAGCCUGAGGAACAAAAGAAAAUUCUGGGAUACUUCAGCCUGCCUUCGAAGGAUCAUGGAUGCCCCGAGGCCUUAGUGGAGCUGUGUAUCAUCAUGUCUGUUCCUGCCUACCUGCUUCUAGCCUUGAUGCCAAAGAAGACAAAGAUUUAUGUUGUCAAGCUAUUGUUUUCAGAUGUGUGGCUGAACUUAGUGCUCGAUGGCUGACAUCUUCGCUCUAGGGUCGGUACACACUUUAUUUUGGGAACUUCUCAGCCUUAUGGCUCCAAUGAAAGGUUCUAAGUUAUUCCUUAGAAUCUUAAUCUUAAAUCUCAGUAAAUCCCACGAUGUCAGUGACUAUCAACAAGUUCGUGGGAAGACUUUCUCUGAGAAGACUCUUGGGCUGGGGAGAAGUGAGUGUUAGGAUCCAACCCCUGACUCCCUGCCUAAUUCUAGAGACUUGCAGUUGGCCGGUUGAUUAGCCACGCUUUAUUUUGGCUGCUUUGACAUUUUGGGUUCUUGCUGAUCGAAGUUUCUCUCCCUGCUGUUGUGACAAAUCACCCGAUGGAACUUAAGCGGGGAGAGGUUGCCUUGGGCUCACACUUCAGAGGGUCAGUCCAUUACGUUGGGGGAAAAGCUCGCUGUCUGGAGAGGCUCGGUCUGUGACAGCUGGAUCUGGCAGUGACCUUGUUCACAUGGUGGUGGCCCAGGAAGCAGAGUGCUAACCCAGACUCAGAGAUGGGUAUCACCUUCAAAGUCCUGCCCCUAGUGGCUUAUGUUUACACUAGGUUCCAUUUGCAAGGGCUCCAUAUGUCCCAGAACAGCACCAAGAGCUGGUGGCACAGGUGUCCAUGCACAUGAGCCUGUGAGGGACAUUUAAGACCCAAGUCAGAAUACUAACCAUAGAUAGACUGUCUUUCCAAGAGCUAACUAACGUCUACACACAGCAAACAUGGGCAGCCAACCAAUCAGGAGCCUCAGCUCCAACCACUUCUUCUAUUGACCUCUGGUACUGUGGCCCUCAGUUCCCUGUCCUAAUCACCACCUAAACCCCAGACAGCUGAGGACAGUUCUCCUCCCCAGAGCUCACAAAGAUUAUUCCAACUGGCCAAUCCUGGACCUUUCUGUCCUGCCCACUUCUUUCUGUGAAAAAAUACAACCAAGUCCCAUGUUUUUCCUUUCCUCUUGCUGGUUCCUGACCAACUCUUGUGUUUCCUGCAGCCCUGCAUGGUGUACCAUGCCUCCUCUUCCUGAAGUAUGUAAAGUAUUUUUUUUAAAAGACUUCUAUUAUGACACUCAUGUCCACAUUUCUUAUUGGGUUUGACUGAAGCAAAUCCCGGGUGUUUUUAAACCAGUGUUUGCCUCUGUUUUCCUAGCUGAAAUACCAUUGUACAGCUCUUCAGGAGUGCUCAUAAAUUGGGCAUUGUGACAUAUACUUGUAAUCCCAGAACUCAGAGGAUGAGGUGGGAGGGUUGUGAAUUUGAGGAUAGCUUGGAGAAUACAGCAAGACUCUGUUGAAGAGAAGGAGGAAGAGGAGGAAUGAUGGUAAAGGACUUUGGAAUGGAGAAAGAUGCAGGAGGGAGGAGAUCCAAUAGAAUGGUAUUCAUUUAUAUUCAUAGCACUUAAUCGACCAAAGUGAUGACUAGCCCUUCUGAGCAUUCACUGUAUGGCAUCAGCACACAACUGAUUGUUAAUAAAGGUAUGCUAUAUAAUCCUUGGAACAGGCACAUAGCCCUCUAAGUGCUUUGUGCUAGUUGAUUUUUUCAACCAACACAAACUUAGACAUAUCUGAGAAGAAGGAAUCCUAAUUGAGAAAAUGUCUCCAUAAGACUGAUGUGUAGACAAAUGUACUAAUGUCUUAUGUCAGCUUGGUACAAGCUAGAGUUAUCAGAGAGGAGGAAGCCUCAGCUGAGAAAAUGCCUCCAAAAGAUCAGCAAGCCUGUAAGGCGUUUUCUUAACUACUGAUUGAUAGGGAAGGGCCUAGCCCAUGGUAGGUGAUGCCAUCCCUGGGCUGAUGGUCCUGGGUUCUAUAAAAAAACAGGCUGAGUAAGCCUUGAGGAGCAAGUCAUUAAGCAGCACCCCUCCAUGGCUUCCACAUCAGCUCCUGCCUUCAGGUU